rnacentral:rRNA from 1 species
GAUCUCCUACGGGAGGCAGCAGUGGGGAAUCUUGGACAAUGGGGGCAACCCUGAUCCAGCCAUGCCGCGUGAGUGAUGAAGGCCUUAGGGUCGUAAAGCUCUUUCGCCUGUGAUGAUAAUGACAGUAGCAGGUAAAGAAACCCCGGCUAACUCCGUGCCAGCAGCCGCGGUAAUACGGAGGGGGUUAGCGUUGUUCGGAAUUACUGGGCGUAAAGCGCGCGUAGGCGGAUUAGUCAGUUAGAGGUGAAAUCCCAGGGCUCAACCCUGGAACUGCCUUUAAUACUGCUAGUCUUGAGUUCGAGAGAGGUGAGUGGAAUUCCGAGUGUAGAGGUGAAAUUCGUAGAUAUUCGGAGGAACACCAGUGGCGAAGGCGGCA